CCUACGGGAGGCAGCAGUGGGGAAUAUUGCACAAUGGGGGAAACCCUGAUGCAGCGACGCCGCGUGAGUGCAGAAGUAUUUCGGUAUGUAAAGCUCUGUCAGCAGGGAAGAAAAUGACGGUACCUGACCAAGAAGCACCGGCUAACUACAUGCCAGCAGCCGCGGUAACCCGUAGGGGGCAAGCGUGAUCCGGAUUUACUGGGUGUAAAGGGAGCGUAGACGGCAGGGCAAGUCUGGAGUGAAAGGCGGGGGCUCAACCCCCGGACGGCUCUGGAAACUGCCAGGCUGGAGUGGAGGAGAGGUAAGUGGAAUUCCUAGUGUAGCGGUGAAAUGCGUAGAUAGUAGGAGGAACACCAGUGGCGAAGGCGGCUUACUGGACUGUAACUGACGUUGAGGCUCGAAAGCGUGGGGAGCAAACAGGAUUAGAUACCCUAGUAGUC
rnacentral:rRNA from 1 species